rnacentral:lncRNA from 1 species
GCCUUUUUAAUUUUUGAAUCAUCUAAAAUAUGAAGCACGUACAGACGAAGACCCAGAGACUGAGGCGUCCCAGGUUCUGCAUUCGAGGCCACAUCGGAUCCGAAGCCUACAGAGUACGAGGGGAAACUCACCUCCAAUUUUCACUGCAAUCCCGGGAAGUUUUUAAAAGAAUUUAGAACAUUAGAGCUUUUCUGUCUUAACAUGAGCCUCCUUGUUAUGCCGACAUCCACCUCAAAGAACUCCUUUUGUUAAUUAAAAAGUUAUUUUAGAGUCUUCUCUCGCUCUCCUUCCUCUCAGACAUGGUGACUGAUUUCAGUGGACUUGAAAUCAAAUUUUUGCAAUGUGGAUUUUUCACACUGCAGUUCCCCAUUUUCACCACAAG